rnacentral:rRNA from 1 species
GACGAACGCUGGCGGCGUGCUUAACACAUGCAAGUCGAACGGAAAGGCCCUGCUUUUGUGGGGUGCUCGAGUGGCGAACGGGUGAGUAACACGUGAGUAACCUGCCCUUGACUUUGGGAUAACUGCAGGAAACUGGGGCUAAUACCGGAUAGGAGCUCCUGCUGCAUGGUGGGGGUUGGAAAGUUUCGGCGGUUGGGGAUGGACUCGCGGCUUAUCAGCUUGUUGGUGGAGUAGUGGCUUACCAAGGCUUUGACGGAUAGCCGGCCUGAGAGGGUGAACGGCCACAUGGGGACUGAGAUACGGCCCAGACUCCUACGGGAGGCAGCAGUGGGGAAUAUGGCACAAUGGGCGGAAGCCUGAUGCAGCAACCCCGCGUGCGGGAUGACGGCCUUCGGGUUGUAAACCGCUUUCGCCUGUGACGAAGCGUGAGUGACGGUAAUGGGUAAAGAAGCACCGGCUAACUACGUG